AAAGUUUUAGUACCCAUGGAGGUACAAUAAAGUUAAAUUUUUUUUAUCAGUUUAAUAUCUGAUACGUCCCCUAUCUGGGGACCAUAUAUUAAAUGGAUUUUUUCGAACAGGGAGAUGGAAAAAGAGCUUGCUCUGUCCACUCCACGCAUUGACCUGGUAUUGCAGUACCUCCAGGACCGGUGCACCCUUU